CUGAAAUACUGAGAUUGUGAAAUGCCGAUAAUGCAUUAUCUAUUAAAGGGAAUAUAUACUGCAUGUUCAUAAUUUACUUCCAGCUUUUGCAUUUGUAUGCAUGCAUAUAUAUGUGUGUGUGUGUGUGUGUGUGUGUGUGAGUGUGUGUGUGUGCUUUUAGA